AGUGAACGCUGGCGGCGUGCCUAACACAUGCAAGUCGAACGAUGAUGGAGAGCUUGCUCUCCUGAUUAGUGGCGCACGGGUGAGUAUACCAUAGAUAAUGUACCUCUUAGUUCGGGAUAGCCACUGGAAACGGUGAUUAAUACCGGGUACUCCUUCUUGUCAAAAGGCAAGUCGGGAAAGUUUUUUCGCUAAGAGAUCAGUCUAUGUCCUAUCAGUUAGUUGGUGAGGUAAUGGCUCACUAAGACUAUGACGGGUAUCUGGUUUGAGAGGAUGAUCAGACACACUGGAACUGAGACACGGUCCAGACUCCUACGGGAGGCAGCAGUGAGGAAUAUUGCACAAUGGAGGAAACUCUGAUGCAGCAACGCCGCGUGGAGGAUGACGCAUUUCGGUGUGUAAACUCCUUUUAAGAGGGAAGAUUAUGACGGUACCUCUUGAAUAAGCACCGGCUAACUCCGUGCCAGCAGCCGCCGCGG
rnacentral:rRNA from 1 species